GGCCGAAUAUCCAAGGUUUCCAGAGUAAAGCUGAUCUGCUCUGGGUAAGUCGGGGCCUAAGGCGAGGACGAGAGUCGUAGCCGAUGGACAACAGGUGGAGAUUCCUGUACUGCGGUAUGACAGAACUGUGGGGACACGUAAGGAAAGCGGAAGCCGGGAAUGGAAAGCCCGGUGCAAGCGGGGUACCAGUCACUUUGGCAAAUCCGGGUGGCAAUGGGAAGCCGUGAUGCGGAGCGAAAUAAAGUAGCGAAGUCCGUGAGCCAUGCGUCAAGAAAAGCCGCUAUUGUUUAUACCGUACCCGUACCGUAAACCGACACAGGUGGAUGAGGAGAGAAUCCUAAGGCCGGCGGAAGAAGCAUUGUCAAGGAACUCGGCAAAAUGGCCCCGUAACUUAGGGAUAAGGGGUGCCUGGGAAACCAGGCCGCAGAGAAUAGGCUCAAGCAACUGUUUAGCAAAAACACAGGUCUAUGCGAAACCGAAAGGUGAGGUAUAUGGGCUGACGCCUGCCCGGUGCUGGAAGGUUAAGAGGAGAGGUUAGCGGUAACGCGAAGCUUUGAAUUUAAGCCCCAGUAAACGGCGGCCGUAACUAUAACGGUCCUAAGGUAGCGAAAUUCCUUGUCGGGUAAGUUCCGACCCGCACGAAAGGCGUAAUGAUUUGAGCGCUGUCUCGACAAUGCAUCCGGUGAAAUUGAAGUACCAGUGAAGAUGCUGGUUACCUGCGCCAGGACGGAAAGACCCCAUGGAGCUUUACUCCAGUCUGGUACUGGGACUCGGUAUUGCAUGUACAGGAUAGGUGGGAGGCUAGGAGAUGGUAACGCCAGUUGCCAUGGAGCCGCUGUUGGGAUACCACCCUUGCAGUAUUGGGUUUCUAACCAGCCGCCGUGACCCGGCGGUGGGACAAUGCCAGACGGGGAGUUUGACUGGGGCGGUCGCCUCCGAAAGGGUAUCGGAGGCGCCCAAAGGUUCCCUCAGAAUGGACGGAAACCAUUCGAAGAGUGCAAAGGCAGAAGGGAGCUUGACUGCGACACCGACGGGUGGAGCAGGUACGAAAGUAGGGCUUAGUGAUCCGGUGGUAUUAAGUGGGAAUGCCAUCGCUCAACGGAUAAAAGCUACCCUGGGGAUAACAGGCUUAUCACUCCCAAGAGUUCACAUCGACGGAGUGGUUUGGCACCUCGAUGUCGGCUCAUCGCAUCCUGGGGCUGUAGUAGGUCCCAAGGGUUGGGCUGUUCGCCCAUUAAAGCGGUACGCGAGCUGGGUUCAGAACGUCGUGAGACAGUUCGGUCCCUAUCCGGCGUGGGCGUAGGAUAUCUGAGAGGAGCUGUCCUUAGUACGAGAGGACCGGGAUGGACGGGCCGCUGGUGCAUCGGUUAGACUGCCAAGUCUACGGCCGAGUAGCCAAGCCCGGAAGGGAUAAACGCUGAAGGCAUCUAAGCGUGAAGCCCCCCUUAAGAUGAGAUAUCCCAUUCG
rnacentral:rRNA from 1 species